rnacentral:rRNA from 1 species
AUGUGCAAGUUCUUGGAGCCCGUGCUGAUGCACUACAUAAUCGACCAAAGGGUCUACGAGCAGCAGAAGCCCAGAACCGAUCCAUCAUCCAUGGCGGCGACUUCAGCACUCUCGAUCUUCCUGCUCUUGGUUGUGCUCGCCAUGUCGACAAAAGGAUCGUCUGCGACGGGUAGCAGCUGGUGCGUGUGCAAGUCAGAGCUGCCGGCGGCGGCGCUGCAGAGGACGCUGGACUACGCGUGUGGCCACGGCGGCGACUGCGCCCCGCUGCUCCCCGGCGGGCAGUGCCACACCGACACGGACACGGUGGCGACGCGCUGCUCCUACGCGGCCAACAGCUACUACCACAACGCCAAGGCCAAGGGCAAUGGCCACGGCGGCGCCACCUGCGACUUCGGCGGCACCGCCACCCUCACCUCGACAGACCCGAGCUCCGGGACUUGCCGAUACCCUGCAACAACUGCCCCUGCCUCUUCCCCGGCUGGUGCCCCCUGGGAGUUGUGGAUGUUCCUCUUGGCGAUCAUCGCCAUCUUCGUUUCUCUGUGCUGUUGUGUGGAGAUGCACGAGCAACGGCGCAACACCUGCCGGCAUUGA